rnacentral:tRNA from 1 species
UCCUCUUUAUCUCAAGGAUAGAGCCUUUGUCUCGUAGACAGAAGGUGGCUGGUUUUAAUCCAGCAAGAGGCA